GAGCCACCCAGGCGCCCCUCUCAAUUUCCACAUCUGUAAGCUGGAAGAGUAAUAGCAGCGAAUAUUCGAGGGCCAGGAGCACGCCAGGCACCAUGUGGAGCACUUCACAAGCAAGGUCUCGUUUCAGAGUCGUCUAAGACAGGAAAAGAAACACCACUUAGAAACUAUGACCAAGGCUGUGUAUGCCAAGACUCAGCAGAGGAAGGAGUUUUUUUGGCAAUCCCAUCAACUUCUCCAAACACAGACCUGAAAUGGCUCUACAGACUCAACCAAACUGGAGGGCUACCGGGACAUAAUUAAAUACAGAAAGCUCUUUUACAAGAGAGUUCCAGGGCUGGACACGAAAUGAGUUCAAGGACAAGCUGCUCUCCAAGGGCACGCCUUGGUGGCUCCAUGGCUCCUGGCUGGCCAGCCAAAGACUUUCCACGCGCAGGCCCUCGAUAAACACCAAGGAAGGGGGCCUCUCGUCUGUCAGGACCCCGAAGCCGAAGCGGUAGAAGAGGGAAAACAACCUGAAAUCAUUAUCCGGCGCUGGACCCAAUACCCGCAUUCUUGAUGUAUGAUAAGUAAGGGAAAAUACCAUGGCAUGCCUUCGAACCACAAAAGAUUUCCAUGGAAUUCAAGAAGUUCCUUUAGCAGCUCGAAUUUUAAGGCAGAAUCCAGGAGAGAGGAUACUGGUACAAACAGAGGUGGGGGGCAGUGGAGAGGGAAUGAACAAGGCCCCUAUUCUGCUCAGCGCAGGUGCUGGUAACAGGACACCCCUGUCCACAGGGGAGCUAUGGGGUAGGGAAUUCAAGGUGUGGUCGGGUGUUCUUCACCCCCCAGUCUCAUUAUAUAACCCCCAACACACUCCGGAACCUAGUACAAAGUUCUCCCUGCGCCAGGCCCAACUCAGCUCCCAACAUGCUGAUUCUUGAGCAACAAGGCUGAGGAAACUAUUUGG